AUUGAACGCUGGCGGCAGGCCUAACACAUGCAAGUCGAACGAUUGGCCGACGGGUGAGUAAUGUCUGGGAAACUGCCUGAUGGAGGGGGAUAACUACUGGAAUCGGUAGCUAAUACCGCAUACCAUCGGAUGUGCCCAGAUGGGAUUAGCUAGUAGGUGGGGUAAAGGGUCACCUAGGCGACGAUCCCUAGCUGGUCUGAGCGGAUGACCAGCCACACUGGAAAUGAGACACGGUCCAGAAUCCUAAGGGAGGCAGAGGUGGGGAAUAUUGCACAAUGGGAGCAAGCCUGAUGCAGCCAUGCCGCGUGUAUGAAGAAGGCCUUCGGGUUGUAAAGUACUAUCAGCGGGGAGGCGUUACCCGCAGAAGAAGCACCGGCUAACUCCGUGCCAGCAGCCGCGGUAGUUC
rnacentral:rRNA from 1 species